GCACUGAAAGCACAGAACACACACUCGAAAUCUUGCUAUCUUUCUGUGUUUCUUAGAGCUCAAAACUGCUAGUUCUCCUCUUUCUAUUCUUCAAGUUUGAGUUGUAAAGAGAGGAGAGAAAACUUCUGUAAGGGUUGUCUCCUAAGCCCGCCAAAAGGAGUGAAUCUGUAAGAGGGUGGUUGGCCUUCGCCUAUUGAAGGAAGGC
rnacentral:lncRNA from 1 species